ACUUUCUUUAUUGCGUUCCCCUAUAUUUGUUUACAAAAAAAAGGAGUGAGGGAAGGAGAAAUUUUGAGACUAAGGAGGAACCUGAGAAGUAUAAACUAAUUUCCGAAACAAGGUACUGAACAUGAAGUUUAAUUUUCCCUUUUGAAGAGCUUGUGAUUAAUAUGAAGGAAGUGUGAGACUUGUUUUGUUUAGUUUCCUAGAAUAAGAGCAAAGGCUGCCAGUUUGUAGUUUGCCUUUGAAGUAUAGGUUUGAAAUUUCUGUGGGAAUAAUGAACUAUCAAGAAAGUUUGUACUGUAAUCUAUAUAAUUAUGUUUGCUGCAAUAUAAAUUUCUUUUUUUUC